CAAUGUUCUGAAAACACACUUCUGUGAGAUGAUGACAUAAAAAUCAUGCUCAAUAGGAUUACGCCGAG
ensembl:snoRNA SNORD115 Small nucleolar RNA SNORD115